rnacentral:rRNA from 1 species
CAGUAGCCGCGGGAAUACAGAGGGUGCGAGCGUUAAUCGGAUUUACUGGGCGUAAAGCGUGCGUAGGCGGCUAAUUGAGUCGGAUGUGAAAUCCCCGAGCUUAACUUGGGAAUUGCAUUCGAUACUGGUUAGCUAGAGUGUGGGAGAGGAUGGUAGAAUUCCAGGUGUAGCGGUGAAAUGCGUAGAGAUCUGGAGGAAUACCGAUGGCGAAGGCAGCCAUCUGGCCUAACACUGACGCUGAGGUACGAAAGCAUGGGGAGCAAACAGGAUUAGAGACCCCGGUAGUCCCUGUCUCUUAUAC